CAAUACGAUUAAACAUUUAUAAUUUUUUAGUUUCAUAACCAAGUUUUGAAAAUUUGCAUUUGAACUUUCGAUUCGUAUAAAACUAGACCACCAACUCCGGGUGUGCUAAAAUUACGAACACAUCAAAGACCCAUAGGGGUCCCCACAAUCCCCUUUGCACCACUCUAACAAUAGUCAACUGCACCUUUCAUAUACAAUUUCGUACACAGAAAUUCGCAUACAUCGUGACUAUUUUAACGUUAUUUUCCAUACACGCGCGUAUUGUCUGUAGGAAACCUAUACAUUCAGUUCUGUUCGUCAAUUACGAAAUUCGCGGAUAAAAUAUUUAAUCGUUACCGUGAAAAAUCUGAUUGAGUUUUUUUUGGGUGCCGAUUUUAAACUUGGGAGGGGAGGGGGGCGCUGAAGACCUCCCUCCCUAGUUGCGCCUACGGGUCCGGCGUGUACAAGAUUACCGUGACGCGUACAGGUGCCGCGACGAAAAUAACGAUAAGCAGAACGCAAUAACGGCGACGUUUUCCGUAUGCGUUUCACGGACCGACCC